rnacentral:rRNA from 1 species
AGUGAACGCUGGCGGUAGGCCUAACACAUGCAAGUCGAACGGCAGCACAGUAAGAGCUUGCUCUUACGGGUGGCGAGUGGCGGACGGGUGAGGAAUACAUCGGAAUCUACUUUUUCGUGGGGGAUAACGUAGGGAAACUUACGCUAAUACCGCAUGCGACCUACGGGUGAAAGCAGGGGAUCUUCGGACCUUGCGCGAUUGAAUGAGCCGAUGUCGAAUUAGCUAGUUGGCGGGGUAAAGGCCCACCAAGGCGACGAUCCGUAGCUGGUCUGAGAGGAUGAUCAGCCACACUGGAACUGAGACACGGUCCAGACUCCUACGGGAGGCAGCAGUGGGGAAUAUUGGACAAUGGGCGCAAGCCUGAUCCAGCCAUACCGCGUGGGUGAAGAAGGCCUUCGGGUUGUAAAGCCCUUUUGUUGGGAAAGAAAAGCAGCAGGUUAAUACCCCGCUGUUCUGACGGUACCCAAAGAAUAAGCACCGGCUAACUUCGUG